rnacentral:RNase_P_RNA from 1 species
GGAGGUGGACGGAGGAUCGCCGGCGGACACCGAUCGUCCGCGGGAGGAAAGUCCGGGCUCCGCAGGGUGGGGAAGUCGCUAACAGCGACCCGGGGCGACCCGAGGGAAAGCGCAACAGAAAUGACACCGCCGAUGGCCGGCCGGCGUUCGCGCUGGCCGGAUCAGGUAAGGGUGAAAUCGUGGGGUAAGAGCCCACGCGCGACAGCCGGGUGACCGGCGGCGAGGCAAGCCCUUCCCGGAGCAAGCUCGAAUAGGGAACCCGUCGAGGGCGACCCGUCCAAACGCACCGUUCGCGGUGUGGGGGUUCCGGGUGAGAGUGCUCGAGCGACACGGCAACGUGUCGCCUAGACGAAUGAUCCUCACUGCAAAGGCGAAAGCCCGAAGCAGAACAGAACCCGGCUUACAGUCCACUGCGGCUC